UUUCCGUAGGUGAACCUGCGGAAGGAUCAUUACAGAGGUUUAUCCUUUCUUUGUGAAUUUAUUAUCUGGUGUGUAUGUUUUUAUGAGAGCGAGUGCGGAGCACGAGUUGAUAUCAUUUUGAAAGCAAUGAGUCGAAGCAUUCGUCAACACUACACAUAUGCACCAAACUUUACAUCAAAUAACGUCUGAAGAAAAGAAAUGAAAAACUUUCAACAAUGGAUCUCUUGGCUCUGGCAUCGAUGAAGAACGCAGC
rnacentral:misc_RNA from 1 species